UUCGGUGUGUAAAUUCAACCAUUGGAUAAGAUAAUGAAAAGCAGCUCAAACUCUUUCACUUUUAAUUUAUAGGUGCAUUCAUGAGGAAGAUGCCUCAGUUCUUCAAGCUAUCCUGCACAGCUUGUCAGGCUGAAUUAGAAACAAGAAGAUGAAAGUGUGCACAGCUGAGGAACCAAGAGAGCUUUCUGCUGAGGUAGAUCUGAAACAUUUCAAGGAAGCCAACACAUCACCUGGAGACCUGCAGUUACUCCAAUUAUUUGUUCUCUUUGUGGACUGACCAAGAUGCUCUGAGCUAUCUGUGGCAGGUGGGACAAGACACAUUCUGUGGACACAAACAGGGUUCAACUUUAAAGGAGCACUUCAGCAUCCAAGGCAAGGGGAGCUGUCACUGAGGUGAGGAAAGGAUGCUCACAGAAAUAAGUUUACAGUGAAAUUUGGGACACCUCUGCUAGACAACACCUGUGUACAAGCAACAAGAAAGUGUAAUGUGUGAUUAGCCCAGGCUUGCUGAAUUGUCUCUUGACUCUGUAAGAGAUGCUCUGCUGGGACCUGACAGAGAUGGGACUGAUAGAAUUCAGAGAGUGAGAAAAGCACAAACAUUAAUUACAAUCAGACCAAGGCUGACUCUCAGAGUCACCAAGCACAGACCUGAUUUCCAAAAAUAAGGGAUAUAUUUAUCUAGCACGCUGUCCCCAUGAUUGCUACUUAUCUGUAUCACACAGGAAGCAAUCCAAUGUGCUCAUAAAUUUGUAUGAACUGUACUCGUAAAUGAAAUAAUAAAUGUCUUCCCAAUGGAUUCCCAUUGACUUAGAAAAUGCACUGAAUUGUUUUAGAUUAAAAAGUGGAUAUUUACAGAUUUCACAGUCAAAAAGGUAGUGUGGCACAACCACUUUGCUCGCUACUGCUAAUAAGUCUGUCAUCAUAACAAAUUAGCAUGUCUGUGUAAAAAUAUACAUGUAUUUGCAUAUAUUCAUCUGCAGACAUUUCCAUUCCUGUUUUAAAAGUACUUCACAAUGUCAUCUCAAACCCUGUAGUCAGUAUUAGUAUUUAUAUGAAGUCAGUUAAAUUUAAGAUGCUAAAAUAGUGCUUUUGUUUCCAGGAGACCUCUCUGUCAAUUUAUUUUAAUUUAAAUAUAGCAUAUUAGUUUUCUCUAAAAAAGAGGAAAGAAACAGAAUUGAGCUUUUUGUCACUUGGAAUCACAUUAUCUCCUAAGUAUAAUUCACAUAAAACAAAUUAUGAGGCUGAUCAAAUGCUCUGUUAACAUAAUUCUUUAAUAAUAAUAUCACUUAGAUCUUAAACUGCUUAAUUAGAUUUCAGUCAUUGCAAUCAACAGCCUCAUUGAAACUGUUCAUCUAUAAUUUAUACUCUUUGCAUUUUACUGUUCAUUUUAAAAACAGCAUUAACAGUAAGAGCCAAUACUAAGUAGGAAAAAGUAGUAAAAAUUAAAAACCUUUAGGUUUUGGGGUGAAUUUAAUUCCUGAUUCACUGAGUAUCAGUGAAGAUAUUUUAAUUUAUUUCAAUGGAUUCAUGAUUUUCCUUUAGGAAAAAUACAUUUGGACUUCAACCACACAUCUAGAUGCUUUUGCAUCUGACCACAAAUCUGAACUGAAUAAAAGAAGUUGUGCUUUUAUUGGAAAGUUGAUAAAUUAAGUAGAACUUUCAGAAUCUUGAAGCCUAAACACAUUCAAUUUAACUUCCAGUCAUUAAUUAGAUGUCUCUAGAUAAAGAAGGUGUAAAGAACAGGCCUAGACAAUGCCACAUUUGCUGAAGUCAUGUUCUUUACUUUAAAGAAGACAUGGUUACUGAGAACAAUGCAGAAUACUUUUGUAAGGAAGUAUUUUUGCAUUUCUGAACAUUAGAAAACAACCAUGUCCAAAAUAAUUUUUUUUUUUUUUCAGUGCAGAUGGAAAUAGGUAAUCCAGGAGCAGAUUACUUACUGUCUUGGAAUAAACUACAAUUACAUCUCCAAUGGUAAAGUACAACCUUUGGGUCUGGCCUGCAGGAAACACAACUCCCCAGAUGAUACCAGCCCCCUGUAUAGCACAGGUGGGAUAUUACAGCUCCAUAACUUUAGAGAAUAUUUGAGAAUUUUUAUUCCUCUUUGAACAGAGAAUAUCUUCAUGUUAGCAAGUCAGGAGUUUUGCUUUUAUUCCUAUCAUUUGAAUAGCAAGAUGUUUAUCUGUUGUUAUUGCAAGAUGGUGUAUUUACAUACUUCCAAAUUUAUAUACUCCCUUUAAACACAGUGAUUGGUUAACACCUUGGUGUUUCUUCAAUAACUAUUUUAGCUGCUUAAACUGAACACAUUUCAGUAGCUCCUUCCUAGCAGUGCCCACAACAGACCCCAGCAGGAUUUUAACACCCAUCCCUCUAGAGCAUUCUGCUGAUAUGCUCAAAAUAUAAGUGUAAACUAGCAGGCAUCUGCUAAGCUACUAGGGAAGUAUCCAGUAAGUAAAUAAAUGCAUCUGGGUUGCAGCCACUGAGAUUUAUAGCACUUUUCCCCGAUUUCCUUUUUCACACUACAGUAAAUACAGUAAUGGUGCUGGCUAAUAAACAGCCAUAAAUCUGC